rnacentral:lncRNA from 1 species
GUCAGAAGCAUUUUUGUCAGCAACAUCAUUUGAUAUUCUUUUUCCUCUUCAGUCAUCUCUGGUUCACUCUGCUCUUCCUGAGGAACUGGAGAUGGACUUCUGGUGACUUUUCUGCUGCUCGCAGCCUCAAAGUUUUCGGGAUCUUCAUCCUCUUCAUCACUGUGAAAUGUACUUCUCUGAGGUAAAUGAGGGCCAUCACCUCCCUCAGUAUCUUCUCUGGCCUUCUUUUCCUUUUUGGACAAUUGUGAAUGUUGUUGGUCCAUCCUUUCUUGCUCUAAUUUCUUUUGCUUUUCACAUUCCACUUUUUCAAGACCUUCACAAAUCCAAGCUGGAAGAGUCCUGUGUUUUACUGCAUCAAUUUGAGGAGGCUCCUGCUUCACAGGAAGGGCAAUAGGUUGAUUCAGACUACAGCUUGAAAGCAUAACAGCAAGAAGAGUUAUGGCCUAUCCUCGUUCGGGAAUGCUGCUGUCACCACCGUUCUUGCAAUAAGUCUCCAAGCCUUUCAAUGCUUCUACUUCUAUGAACAAGACAAGAUGGCACUGCUUUAUCCAUUAUUAAAGAAUAAUGACUAGUUAAGAUUACAUUUUGAAGGGUCACACUGACAUCUCUACAGAGUAUGAAUCAAUGGGGCUUCACUAAAAUGGAGAGAUCAAUAAUAGUAUAUUUCGGUAUGUUAGAAAAGAUUGAAAAUGUAUUUAUUUGAAUGUAGAAAGUAGGAUAUAUCAGUCUUGAGUAUGAGUGGGAGAAAGGAGAGUCUAGAGGAUUAUUGGAAUCAGAGAAAUUGUGGGAGCAACUGAAAUAAUGAAUGAUGAUGACAUUAAAGUGAAGAAGAAAGGAAGACACACUGGGGGAGAGUAUGACCAAUACAUAUUUUGUUAAAAUUGAAUGAUUUGCAACAUCUAAGUGGAGUAAACAUCAGGAGUAAAUGAGUAUAUUAGAGAUCAGGAGAGAUGUAUGGUCUAGAGAUGUGGGUGUCAUUUUUACUAACAAUGUAAUAUGCAUGGGUGCCAGCGUAACAUGAGGUAAAUGUUGACAUGGGUUUUAUUUACAUAUAUGUGAUAGGUGAAGAUGGUAACUGAGAUGAGGAUCAGGAAUGCAACCUUAAGUAAUUAUACAUUUUAAGAACUAAGCGUAAUGAGGGAGCUCCUGAAAUGAUCUGAAACUGAAUAGUGAAAGAAAAAGCAAAAGAGAACAGAUGCAUAAAAGCCAAAGGAAAGGUAAAUUCUAAGGAGUUCAAAAUCAUCCAUGUCAUGUGUUGGAAAUAGGCCAUGUAAAACAAGGACAGAAAAGGGAAAAUUGCAUUUAAAAAUUGUACAUCAAUUUAACAAUUGCACGAGACAUUUUAAUGGAAUAAUUAGAAUUGGAACCAGUUGAGGAACUGGAGGACAUAUGGGUAGAUUAUCCAUUUAAAAAGUUUUGGAAGUAGAAAGAGAAGGAAGUUGAGAGAGCAGGACAUGUCACCGAAGGUAUCCAUGUUUUUUAUUGUAUCAAAAAGCCCAUGUUUGGAUACAGUGAUGAAAAUAUUUAUCAGAAAGGAAUCCUAUGAAGGUAGAAGAUAAAGGCAUUGAUGAUACCAAUGAGAUGGAAGGAAUGAGACCCAAGAUACAGGUGGUGUUUCUCUAGCUUUGGAUAAGAGUGAAGAUUAAUGGAUAAGAAAAUAAAGGAGUGUGGAAAAGAGUAAGAGGCAAAAGGUCACGAUGGAACAGAUGCAAAUUCUAGAAUCCAAACUCAAAGUAUUGUGAACAAACAAGGGAAUUUAUUGACUCAUAAUUUGGGAUCCACAGAAUUAGGUCCAGUAGAACAAAGUCAUGACAGCUAUGAAAUUUAGGACCCUCCUGGUACUUGCUUAAUUCUGUACACAGGCUUCCUUCGUAAAAUGAUAUUGGUAGUCAGUGAGAGGUCUGAAUCCCACUGUCUAGCUUGACCUUAAAGGGAAAGACACAGUGGUGGUAUAUCAAUCUAAAGAAGUUCUCUGUAUGCCCUUUAUUCUAUCAUGUGCCUGCGCCAUAUUACAAAGACAAGAGUAGGGAGCCCUUGUAACAGCCCAACCAAGAGUAUAUAGGUAAAGGAAGGUAAAACUUGCAUGGGAUAAUGAAAGAUGAUUCACAACAAAGGAAAAUUUGAUAUAAUUUGAUAGAGGGCUCAAGUUUGAAGAAGAAAGAUCAUGACAUUUAUUUUCUAUUUUUAUUAUUCUUGUCUGUAGAAAUUAGAAAGAAAAGUUGGUAAAGUGAAAAGGAUUAGUGCUCACUUGGGGAUUGCAGAUUGUAAUAAUCCCUAGUUGUCACUGAGGAGAAUUGCAAAGGAAGUUUACUGGGUAUGUAGAGAUAGGGAAGUGGUAGGAUGUUUAUUAUGUGACAAUGAAAAAGACAGUAGAUUUUGUUCAGGGGUAGCAGAGUAUAUUCUAGUGCUGUCAUAUAUUGUUCAACUGAGGUUAGGCAACUCACCUUCUCUGACCCUGAUUUUUUUCUUUUUUCUUUUGAACAAAUGAAAUGUGCAAGCAUAUGAAUUUUAGUGCUGUCCAGAAAUUAGGUGUUGUAUUAUAUUUAUAUUCAGAGUAAUAUGAAUGAGAGUAAAGUGAUAAGACAAAUGCAUGAUUUGAUUUUUAAAAAAGAAAUGAAAAUGUCUCUAUUUGAAAUUAAUAUGUAACUUUCACUGAACAGAAAAGAAGAUAAACCAAAGAUCAUUUUCCUUUCUUCAAUUUUAAAAUACAUUGAGAAGCCUGUUAUAUUUGGUGAUGUUCUGCACAUAUACAGUCAGGUUUUUAUAAACCAGUAGAGACUAUCAGUGGAGGAAUAAGUCCAAGAUGUUACAUAUCAAGUCUAGAUAGAUUUAUAGCAGUUAGUUUCUGGAUCUCAUUACAUAAUUACCCACUCAAUGACAUCAACAGGAUUUAGUUUGAUUAAAUUGGAGUAAAUGUAGUACAGUUUCUAAUUCAGCAUGAGAAAUCUCUAUAUAAUUUGGGUAGGUGAUAGUUCUUGCUUUUUAAUUAUUGCACUUAGUCACUAAUCUAAGUCUCUAAGCUCUUUGGGUAAAUGUAACUUGAAUUUAGUAACUAGGGGAUUUUGAAAUUGCUUAGACUGCAGCCAAACUCUAGCCUUCUUAGUUCAUUUGUUCUUCCAGAAGGAAGUAAAAUAAGUUCAAUUGAGUAUUAAGUAAUUACUGCUUUAUCCACACAGUGCUUUCAUAAGCUUGUGCAUGUUUUUGUGUAAACAAUCUUUUAAAUUUCAUUUAUUGUGUACAGUGGAUCCUUGGCUUAUGAAUUCAAUUCAUUCAUGAGGGCUGAUUGCAACUCAAGGUGGUCAGUUGAAGGCUCAGGCUCCUCUACAGAGACUUCAGUCUCUCUCCUGUAAAUAGGCAGAUCUCAGUGUCCUUAGAGAGACACUGGCCCAGGAUUUCUCAACUCCAUACAGAAAAGGAUGUUGUAAUGUUCUUUCUAGAACUCUUUAAGAGUUAAAUCUGUAUGUGAGACCAUCUGGAAGCAUAAGUAGCCAGCAUUCAGGUUGUAACUCAAGAUUUUGGUCAUAAGUUAAAACUAAAAUUCUGGUCAUAACACAAAUUGUUCAUAUGUCAGGCUGGUCAUAACUCAAGGGUCCACUGUAUUAGGCACUCAUCUAACACUUCUCAUACAUUAAUUCAUUUAAUCUUUUCAAACCUGCUUUAAGAUGCAUAAUUUUUUAUUAUUUAGCUAGUUUUAAUAUUCUGAUUACUCAGAUGAGGAAAACAAGUGUCAGAAAGCUGGCAUUCAAAUCAAGGCAGUCUGGAUUCAGAAACUAUGCUUUCAAUGAUAUAAUAAUUAUGUAUGAAUGUAUGGCAUUUUAUAAAGAUUAUAUACAUAGGAUUUCACUUUUCCAGAAUUGGUUAAUUUUGAUAGUGAUUCAUUGCAACUCAGGAAAUAUUUAUAGUGGACUAGCUACUAUUUUAAAAUAACAUUUAUUGUUUGUCUGACUAUUAAUAUAAAUUAUCAUGGGAAAGGUUGAAAGGAAGCUAAAAGCCCCUGAAAAGCUACAAUGAACUGAUAAUAAAUUAGACUUUCUAGACUUUCUUCCACCCUUCUUGUUAAGGUACUUUAUUAACUGUGUAUAUCUGUGUACCAGGGCCUUCAUAAUAAACUACUUACCUAGACAUUUUUCAUCUUUAAUUUUGAAUCAGGGUUGCACAAAGUUGCAAGGUUACAAUGCCUGAACUCAAACUUGCC